rnacentral:rRNA from 1 species
UACGUAGGUGACCAGCGUUGUCCGGAUUUACUGGGCGUAAAGAGCGCGCAGGCGGUCGUUCAAGUCGAGUGUGAAAGCCCCCGGCUCAACCGGGGAGGGUCACUCGAUACUGAUCGACUUGAAGGCAGGAGAGGGAAGCGGAAUUCCCGGUGUAGUGGUGAAAUGCGUAGAUAUCGGGAGGAACACCAGUGGCGAAGGCGGCGACCUGGGCCAAUACUGACGCUGAGGUGCGAAAGCGUGGGGAGCAAACAGG